UAGAUUGAAGCCAGUUGUGUAGGGUGUUUAGCUGUUAACUAAAGUUUCAUGGGUUUAAAUCCCAUCAAUCUAG
rnacentral:tRNA from 1 species